rnacentral:rRNA from 1 species
ACCAGGGGCUACACACGUACUACAAUGGCCGGUACAAAGGGCGAGCGACACAGCGAUGUGAAGCCAAUCCCGAAAGACCGGUCUCAGUCCGGAUUGGAGGUCUGCAACUCGACUCCAUGAAGUUGGAAUCGCUAGUAAUCGCGGAUCAGCACGCCGCGGUGAAUACGUUCCCGGGCCUU